rnacentral:snoRNA from 1 species
GUCAAAGUCUAUCCCAAUGGAGCUUUUUCUAUAGAUUCACAUUGCUGGAAAUGGUAUAAAUAUGUGGUUUGUUUUACAGUUUGCAGGAAAGAAUUAUAAGACGAGA